rnacentral:misc_RNA from 1 species
UGAACAUGCUCAACGCGAGGAUCAUUCAUGAAAUUUAACAUAAACAACAAACUGAGAUACCACAAACUAUAUAAUUGGUUCAUGCAAAUAAGGUAUCACAGGCUUGAAGAACUAAAAGUAUUAAAGACUUGAUAGAACUCUUCAAGGAAAUUACAAGUGAGAGCAGUCAACAUAACAAUGACAGAAAAACUAGCAUGUUGAAGGACUCGGUCACUAGACAUGAUUUCACAUCUAAACGGGUCGCCCGAUACACAAAGCUUUCCGUCUUCAUGUAAGGCCCUGGGAAGGGCAACAACCCAAGGGUGUGUGAUGUACAUAGACUAACCCAUCAAUCACACCGAAAAAAAACUUUACAGUUAUUUCAAGGCUCACCUUCACCAUGUUUUUAACUCUAUGUACUAAAAACACAUCCAUUUUAAAGACUACACAUAUCUUUAAUUUGAAACCACAAGAUCCAAGAACCUCCCUUUGUUCCUUAAACUUCAUACUCAAUCAAACUAAGACACUUACAAAUUGGCACAGAGGGAGUCUACAACUUAUCUAUCCAACACCUAAUAAGCAAAAGUAGUCUAGAACUUCUACACUAAAAAUCCUGACUCCGCCUCAGUCUACCAAGUAAAGCUCAUCCAAUUCAUACAAAAUGUUAAAGACAAUAACUUUAAAGGAUAACAAAGAAAUUUACCAGAGAUACUUCCUACUAGGCUGACCAUCUAUCUAUGUACAUAAAAAAAUUCAAAAAAUUAUCUUAUUCUGUUAUACAUAUAUAGUUGACACCAUCCUGCCCCUUCAUCACAAG